rnacentral:rRNA from 1 species
CAGCCGCCGCGGUAAUACAGAGGGUGCGAGCGUUAAUCGGAUUUACUGGGCGUAAAGCGUUCGUAGGCGGCUUCUUAAGUCGGAUGUGAAAUCCCUGAGCUUAACUUAGGAAUUGCAUUCGAUACUGGGAAGCUAGAGUAUGGGAGAGGAUGGUAGAAUUCCAGGUGUAGCGGUGAAAUGCGUAGAGAUCUGGAGGAAUACCGAUGGCGAAGGCAGCCAUCUGGCCUAAUACUGACGCUGAGGUACGAAAGCAUGGGGAGCAAACAGGAUUAGAUACCCCAGUAGUCCCUGUCUCUUAUAU